rnacentral:rRNA from 1 species
UACAGAGGCCCCAAGCGUUAGGCGGAAUCACUGGGCUUAAAGCGUGUGUAGGCGGGUCGUUAAGUACCUUGUGAAAUCCCACGGCUUAACCGUGGAACCGCUCGGUAUACUGGCGAUCUUGAGCCACUUAGGGGCUACCGGAACAGAUGGUGGAGCGGUGAAAUGCGUAGAUAUCGAGAGGAACACCUGCGGCGAAGGCGGGUAGCUGGGCCGACACUGACGCUGAUGCGCGAAAGCCAGGGGAGCGAACGGG